UCAACCUUAGCUCAGUUGGAAGAGCGGAGGAAUGUUCCUCUAAGGUCGCUGGUUCGAUUCCGACAGGUUGAA
rnacentral:tRNA from 1 species